rnacentral:lncRNA from 1 species
CACACACAGUAAAACGGAGCAACCGCAUUGGUGCAUCAAGGUUUUGUGCCACGUGGAGUGGACCGCGGAAGUAGUCUUCGCCUGUACGUGCUCCUGGAACCUCGUGGUGCUGCAUCGUGCGUCAUCCUCGGCGGCCUCCGCCAGGGAGUCUUCCUCCCACAUCGCGCGUCGUCCUCAGCUUCCUCCGCCUCGGUGGCCUCUGGCAUCCACGUCGUAACCCUCGCGUCCUGUGCAGGUGAGGUAGGGAGAGGAAGACUCCUAGAGCUCGGUGGAGGAGAGGCGACGACGAGGAAGCCCGAGGGGGCGGCGGAGAUGGUGGAUGGGGGUUUGCAGCCGGAGAGGGGGUGGGCGAGGGAGCGGCGGAGGGUGAAUGGGUCGAAGAGGGGAGGAUCAGAGGAAAAAAAAAGGUGAGGACGGUAUCGCGGCGGCAAAGGGCGAAGAAGAGGGCUGCAGCGAAAACGGGCCUUCCUCUCCGUCAGCGAAGUGGUGGGCGAGAAAAGGUGAAACAGUAGGCCCAAUUUUGCAGCGAUGAACGGAAGAAUGUCAAGAUGGAAUUAUGGUGGGACCGAUUGACAAACCUGCCGAGUUGAUAAGUUCAAAUUGCAGAUAUAAAUUGAAAUUCUAUUGAAAUUUGGAUCGAUGGGUAUGCAGGAUUUCUAUAAAUAUUUUUAUUAAUUUUUUACUAUUUUAUUU